rnacentral:rRNA from 1 species
AACGAACGCUGGCGGCGUGCCUAACACAUGCAAGUCGAGCGCGAAAGUCCGCAAGGAUGAGUAAAGCGGCGAACGGGUGAGUAACGCGUAGGUAACCUACCCUUCAGAUUGGGAUAACCUGUCGAAAGACGGGCUAAUACCGAAUAUGACCACGAUUUAUUUCGAGGUGAAAGAUGGCCUCUAUUUAUAAGCUAUCACUGAUUGAUGGGCCUGCGUAGCAUUAGCUAGUUGGUAGGGUAAUGGCCUACCAAGGCGACGAUGCUUAGCUGAUCUGAGAGGAUGAUCAGCCACACUGGAACUGAAACACGGUCCAGACUCCUACGGAGGCAGCAGUGGGGAAUAUUGCGCAAUGGGCGAAAGCCUGACGCAGCAACGCCGCGUGAGGGAUGAAGGCCUCGGUUGUAA